rnacentral:rRNA from 1 species
UGAGUAACACGUAUCCAACCUGCCGUCUACUCUUGGACAGCCUUCUGAAAGGAAGAUUAAUACAAGAUGGCAUCAUGAGUCCGCAUGUUCACAUGAUUAAAGGUAUUCCGGUAGACGAUGGGGAUGCGUUCCAUUAGAUAGUAGGCGGGGUAACGGCCCACCUAGUCUUCGAUGGAUAGGGGUUCUGAGAGGAAGGUCCCCCACAUUGAAACUGAGACACGGUCCAA